UACGAAUGGGGCAAGCGUUGUUCGGAAUCACUGGGCUUAAAGCGUGCGUAGGUGGACUAGCAAGUCAGGAGUGAAAUCCCCGGGCUCAACCCGGGAACUGCUUCUGAAACUAUUAGUCUAGAAUCCUGGAGAGGUUGGGAGAAUUCCUAGUGUAGAGGUGAAAUUCGCAGAUAUUAGGAGGAAUACCAGUGGCGUAGGCGCCCAACUGGACAGGUAUUGACACUGAGGCACGAAAGCGUGGGGAGCAAACAGG
rnacentral:rRNA from 1 species